rnacentral:rRNA from 1 species
GUGCCAGCCGCCGCGGUAAUACCGGCAGCCCGAGUGAUGGCCGAUCUUAUUGGGCCUAAAGCGUCCGUAGCUGGCCGCGCAAGUCCGUCGGGAAAUCCACCUGCCCAACAGGUGGGCGUCCGGCGGAAACUGCACAGCUUGGGACCGGAAGGCUCGAAGGGUACGUUCGGGGUAGGAGUGAAAUCCCAUAAUCCCGCGCGGACCACCGAUGGCGAAAGCACUUCGAGAAAACGGAUCCGACAGUGAGGACGAAAGCCAGGGUCUCCAACCGGAUUAGAUACCCCAGUAUCC